rnacentral:rRNA from 1 species
UAGACACUAAGGUAGACUAUAUCAACCGCCCCCAAAACCCGGGCCAAAACCAAAUACCCCCCUACCCUACGUCUUCGGUUGGGGCGACCACGGAGUAAUAAAAAACCCCCGCGUGGACCGGGAACACAAUUUUCCCACAGACAAGAGCUCCCGCUCUAACAAGCAGAAUUUCUGACUAAAAGUGAUCCAGCCAAUGCUGAUCAACGGACCAAGUUACCCUAGGGAUAACAGCGCAAUCUCCUUCUAGAGUCCAUAUCGACAAGGAGGUUUACGACCUCGAUGUUGGAUCAGGACAUCCUAAUGGUGCAGCCGCUAUUAAG